GGCUUAUGGACUUCAGGAUGAUAAACACAUGAAAAUCUCAGACAUGAUUCUGCACUGCAGGCUGCAUAUUGUGUCGGUGGGCAUUCAGGAAACUGGCAAGUUAUUCAGAACUCAAUUCUUGGAUGUUACUUGCGUCGUCCUACUCUGAAUCGGCAUCAUGGAGCUCCAUACAUCCACAUGCUCUUCGUCAGCCAGAGCCCAUGGCCCAGUUUAGUCUUUCCCCCAGAUCAUUUUCAGAUCCACCUUUAAGUUAUACAACCAAUGGUAAAGUUAUACACAACUAAGGGACCAUAUCAUCAACUAGAUCAAGACAAGACUGAAUUCGUUGGAGCCAACGUUAUGGUCAGGAAGCAUACCAUCUUUCUUCCCAAUGUUCUCCACUACUAUGCAUGGAUGCUGCACUGGAGUUGCCUGAUAUGUAUUGAGAUGGUACGCAGGAGCAUGCUUGAAGCCCAGUGAGAAGAAAUGAGAAAAUUUCUCAGGAGGGAGAACAU